rnacentral:antisense_RNA from 1 species
CUUCACCGACCCCAGGUAGAGCGGUCCGGUCCGGUCCUGGCCGUAGGUGGCGAGGAGCGCCUGGGCCUC